UACAGAGGGUGCGAGCGUAAUCGGAAUUACUGGGCGUAAAGCGCGCGUAGGCGGCUUUGCAAGUCGAGUGUGAAAUCCCCAGGCUUAACCUGGGAACUGCAUUCGAGACUGCAUAGCUAGAGUAUGGGAGAGGGAAGUGGAAUUUCAGGUGUAGCGGUGAAAUGCGUAGAUAUCAGAAGGAACAUCAGUGGCGAAGGCGGCUUCCUGGACCAAUACUGACGAUCAGGUGCGAAAGCGUGGGGAGCAAACAGG
rnacentral:rRNA from 1 species